rnacentral:rRNA from 1 species
UACGUAGGCAGGCGAGCGUUGUUCGGAAUCACUGGGCGUAAAGCGCGUGUAGGCGGCUAUCUAAGUCUGAUGUGAAAGCCCUGGGCUCAACUCAGGAAGUGCAUUGGAUACUGGAUAGCUGGAGUACCGGAGAGGAGGGUGGAAUUCUGGUGUAGCGGUGAAAUGCGUAGAUAUCAGGAGGAACACCGGUGGCGAAGGCGUCCCUCUGGCCGGAUACUGACGCUGAGACGGCGAAAGCGUGGGGAGCAAACAGG